rnacentral:rRNA from 1 species
UGGGGAAUUUUGGACAAUGGGCGAAAGCCUGAUCCAGCAAUGCCGCGUGUGUGAAGAAGGCCUUCGGGUUGUAAAGCACUUUUGUCCGGAAAGAAAUCCUUGGCUCUAAUACAGUCGGGGGAUGACGGUACCGGAAGAAUAAGCACCGGCUAACUACGUGCCAGCAGCCGCGGUAAUACGUAGGGUGCAAGCGUUAAUCGGAAUUACUGGGCGUAAAGCGUGCNCAGGCGGUUUGCUAAGACCGAUGUGAAAUCCCCGGGCUCAACCUGGGAACUGCAUUGGUGACUGGCAGGCUAGAGUAUGGCAGAGGGGGGUAGAAUUCCACGUGUAGCAGUGAAAUGCGUAGAGAUGUGGAGGAAUACCGAUGGCGAAGGCAGCCCCCUGGGCCAAUACUGACGCUCAUGCACGAAAGCGUGGGGAGCAAAACAGGAUUAGAUACCCUGGUAGUCCACGCCCUAAACGAUGUCAACUAGUUGUUGGGGAUUCAUUUCCUUAGUAACGUAGCUAACGCGUGAAGUUGACCGCCUGGGGAGUACGGUCGC